rnacentral:rRNA from 1 species
UACAGAGGGGGCAAGCGUUGUUCGGAAUUACUGGGCGUAAAGGGCUCGUAGGCGGCCAACUAAGUCAGACGUGAAAUCCCUCGGCUUAACCGGGGAACUGCGUCUGAUACUGGAUGGCUUGAGUUUGGGAGAGGGAUGCGGAAUUCCAGGUGUAGCGGUGAAAUGCGUAGAUAUCUGGAGGAACACCGGUGGCGAAGGCGGCAUCCUGGACCAACACUGACGCUGAGGAGCGAAAGCCAGGGGAGCAAACGGG